UACGGAGGGUGCAAGCGUUAAUCGGAAUUACUGGGCGUAAAGCGCACGCAGGUGGCUGAGAAAGUCGAUUGUGAAAGCCCUGGGCUUAACCUGGGAAUUGCAGUCGAAACUACUCGGCUAGAGUAUGGGAGAGGACAGUGGAAUUCCCGGUGUAGCGGUGAAAUGCGUAGAUAUCGGGAAGAACACCCGUGGCGAAGGCGGCUCUCUGGGACGGAACUGACGCUGAGACGCGAAAGCGUGGGGAGCGAACAGG
rnacentral:rRNA from 1 species